rnacentral:rRNA from 1 species
UACGUAGGGUGCAAGCGUUGUCCGGAAUUACUGGGCGUAAAGAGUUCGUAGGCGGUUUGUCACGUCGUUUGUGAAACUCAACAGCUCAACUGUUGAGCCUGCAGGCGAUACGGGCAGACUUGAGUACUGCAGGGGAGACUGGAAUUCCCGGUGUAGCGGUGAAAUGCGUAGAGAUCGGGAGGAACACCAGUGGCGAAGGCGGCUACCUGGACCAGCACUGACACUGAGGCACGAAAGCGUGGGGAGCAAACAGG